rnacentral:rRNA from 1 species
CAAUAGCGUAUAUUAACGUUGUUGCAGUUAAAAAGCUCGUAGUUGGAUUUCUGGAGGGAGCGUCGGCCCGUAUUUACGAGUGCGUGACGUCUCUGUCCAUCCUUGCGGGAAGGCACGGCAUUGAUUUGUUGUGUCGGAUCGCAUCAUUUACUGUGAAAAAAUUAGAGUGUUCAAAGCAGGCUUUCGCUUGAAUACAUUAGCAUGGAAUAAUAAGAUAGGACUUUGGUGCUAUUUUGUUGGUUGAGCCUAAAGUAAUGAUUAAUAGGUAUAGUUGGGGGCACCUGUAUUGCGUUGUCAGAGGUGAAAUUCUUGGAUUUACGCAAGACAAACAGCUGCGAAAGCGUCUGCCAAGGAUGUUUUCAUUAA